GACGAACGCUGGCGGCGUGCUUAACACAUGCAAGUCGAACGGAAAGGCCCUGCUUUUGUGGGGUGCUCGAGUGGCGAACGGGUGAGUAACACGUGAGUAACCUGCCCUUGACUUUGGGAUAACUUCAGGAAACUGGGGCUAAUACCGGAUAGGAGCUCCUGCUGCAUGGUGGGGGUUGGAAAGUUUCGGCGGUUGGGGAUGGACUCGCGGCUUAUCAGCUUGUUGGUGGGGUAGUGGCUUACCAAGGCUUUGACGGGUAGCCGGCCUGAGAGGGUGACCGGCCACCUUGGGACUGAGAUACGGCCCAGACUCCUACGGGAGGCCGCAGUGGGGAAUCUUGCACGAUGGGCGGAAGCCUGAUGCAGCAACGCCGCGUGCGGGAUGACGGCCUUCGGGUUGUAAACCGCUUUCGCCUGUGACGAAGCGUGAGUGACGGUAAUGGGUACAGAAGCACCGGCUAACUACGUG
rnacentral:rRNA from 1 species